rnacentral:rRNA from 1 species
UGACAGCUGUCGAAAGAUGGUUUUCUUUCGGACACUCUUCAAGGUGCUGCAUGGUUGUCGUCAGCUCGUGCCGUGAGGUGUCGGGUUAAGUCCCAUAACGAGCGCAACCCUUACCGUUAGUUACCAUCAGGUUAAGCUGGGGACUCUAGCGGGACUGCCACCGUAAGGUGAGAGGAAGGUGGGGAUGACGUCAAAUCAGCACGGCCCUUAUGUCCAGGGCUACACACGUGUUACAAUGGCCGGUACAAAGGGCAGCUACUUCGCGAGAAGAUGCUAAUCUCGAAAGCCGGUCUCAGUUCGGAUCGAAGUCUGCAACCCGACUUCGUGAAGCUGGAUUCGCUAGUAAUCGCGCAUCAGCCAUGGCGCGGUGAAUACGUUCCCGGGCCUU